GUGCCCGUUCAGACGUCAAAGGGGAAGGAGUGCCGCGCGUCGCUCCUGUCACACUUUACAAAUUCCCUUAAAACAACGAAUUAUAGGUACCUGUGGGGCCCAAAUCUUCACUACACCACUAUUAACACCUGCUGGAUAAUUGGUAGUGUCAGUGCAGGUGUGGGACAGGUGUGGGCAGGUGUACCGUGUGUUAGAGACGCCAGGUGUGUGUUUGACCUAAGAUUAUGUCACCUGUUCGUGUGUCUGUGUGUCUAUGUCCAUGUGGGGUGACCUGUGCCUCCCUGACCCCUGUGUGACCUCUCUGUGACCUCUCUGUGACCUAAGUAUCAUCGGAAAGGUCAAUUUUUUAAGAUUGACAGAAGAGGAAAGACAGACAGACAGACAGACAGAAUGUAAUUAAAGAAGAAGAAGAAGAAGAAGAAGAAGAA